rnacentral:lncRNA from 1 species
GGUGCAAACACAAAAUUCCAUUGAAUUUGAACAAAAUUUUAAAUACAUGAACAUUUUUUUUAAUUUUUGCGAAGAAUCAUAGAUGCAACAAUAACACAAAACAAAGAUUUGAUGUCUUGUUAAAUGAUUGAAAUAUAUAAAAAGAAGAUGUGGUAUGAUUGCCAAUGAGACAACUCUCUACAAGAGACCAAAAUGACACAGAAAUUAACAACUAUAGGUCACUGUACGGCCUUCAAAAGCAAAGCCCAUACCGCAUAGUCUGC